GGCAGGUUGUAUUCGCGCCACUUUCGCAAUUUACUAUGAUUUAUAAAGUCAGGUUGGGGCACAUUUAGCUCUCGUUUGGAUUUGCUCCCUGCUCUGUACUUGAGCACAAUCGCAAAUUAAAAGUUUACGGCGUACUUUUCGCACAUUUGCUUGUAACGGUGACAGUAAACGAACUUUCCUGAUGUCCUCGUCGAGCAGUUCGUCACUGUUGCGUGCAGUUUGCCGUUUUGACAAUGGGAUGAAGACCUUUGCGGAACUCCGCCGUUUGUUGUCACAGUAUUGCCAAAGUGCUUACAGUGCAGGUAGUACUAUGGAAUACCUACUGCAGUGGAGGCACUUCUAGCAAUAUCCUGGCUAUGUCGAACCAGUGUUGAAUUUGCUGAAACGACUUGAAUAACAACUUUGUGCUAAGGUGCAUCUAGUGCAGAUAGUGAAGUAGACUAGCACCUACUGCCCUAAGUGCUCCUUCUGGCAUGAGGGCUUGUUAUCUGCAUCCAGCGCAAUGUGGACAUGCCAUCUUCCAUAGGGUCAUGCUUAUUCCUUAUUUUUUUGCAGUUCUCUGCUAGUUUUGCAUAGUUGCACUACAAGAAAACAUGAGUUGUGCAAAUCUAUGCAAAACUGAUGGUGGCCUGCUUUGUUCACCACCUUUCCAAAAAGCCUUUUUAAUUGGAGGGAGGGAGUGGAAUUCAUGUACCAAAUUCAUGCCUGUACCCUCCCCUCCCUCCCCCAGACAUCCCUAGUCCAUCUCUCCCUGGCUUGCUUUGCAGAAGUAUGUUGUGUGGAAUGAGUUUCAGCAGUGCUAAAGUGCUUAUAGUGCAGGUAGUUGUUAAGCCCUCUACUGCAGUGUGAGCACUUGAAGUACUUCUAACUAUGGGCAUCUGGAUAGGUGUACUAGUGUUGGACCCACCCCAUAUCUGCCACAAGUGGCUGGGCACUGCUAGUUUUGCUGGUUUGCAUUCAGCUUUAACAGAUGGAUGCUGUGCAAAUCCAUGCAAAACUGACUGUGACAGCAAAUUGACCCAGAAUCCGCUUGUUUAUGUGUGUGGUCCCUUUCUGCACAGGUUGGGAUAGGUAGCAAUGCUGUGCAUUGGAAAGGUAUUGCACUUGUCCCGGCCUGUUGAGGAUUGAGGAGAUUAUGCCCCUGAUAUAAAUUCUGUAAUGUCUCAGUAUUUCAAUUAAUGGUAUUUAUCUUGCAUGAUGUUGGCCAUAAAUGUUAAAUAAACCGCUACAAAAUGUAUUCUGUUUUUUGACUGCAAAAUGUAAUGAAGGCAUAAGCUUAUUUGUUCGGAGACCUGUUAAGUUUGAAAUGUAUGUGUUAUGCCUGGUACACUUUGUUAAUUAUGAUGAGAAAUUGGAUUUAUUGGAAUGAGAUGCAAUAUUGUGUGUGGCCUUUGUUUCGUUGGUAAUGGAAAACUGAUGUCCAAAUUUUGAUGUUUUACUCAAUAAAAUGAAACUAAUCUGA